UUAGAUUUGGGUGGCGGACGGGCUGAGUAACGCGUAAAGAACUUGCCUCACAGCUAGGGACAACAUUUAGAAAUGAAUGCUAAUACCUGAUAUUAUGAUUUUAAGGCAUCUUAGAAUUAUGAAAGCUAUAAGCACUGUGAGAGAGCUUUGCGUCCCAUUAGCUAGUUGGAGAGGUAACAGCUCACCAAGGCGAUGAUGGGUAGCCGGCCUGAGAGGGUGAACGGCCACAAGGGGACUGAGACACGGCCCUUACUCCUACGGGAGGCAGCAGUGGGGAAUAUUGGACAAUGGACCGAGAGUCUGAUCCAGCAAUUCUGUGUGCACGAUGAAGUUUUUCGGAAUGUAAAGUGCUUUCAGUUGGGAAGAAAUAAAUGACGGUACCAACAGAAGAAGUGACGGCUAAAUACGUGCCAGCAGCCGCGGUAAUACGUAUGUCACGAGCGUUAUCCGGAUUUAUUGGGCGUAAAGCGCGUCUAGGUGGUUAUGUAAGUCUGAUGUGAAAAUGCAGGGCUCAACUCUGUAUUGCGUUGGAAACUGUAUAACUAGAGUACUGGAGAGGUAAGCGGAACUACAAGUGUAGAGGUGAAAUUCGUAGAUAUUUGUAGGAAUGCCGAUGGGGAAGCCAGCUUACUGGACAGAUACUGACGCUAAAGCGCGAAAGCGUGGGUAGCA
rnacentral:rRNA from 2 species